rnacentral:lncRNA from 1 species
GGAGUGUGAAAGAUUCGAAAAAAUAGUGAGAGCCUUUAUUUAUUUUUAAAAUCUAUAGAAUAAACAAUCUUAUAAAUACAAAAUCUAACUAAAAACUAUUUUUUCUGCAGAUAAUCAUGUCGAGUUUAAACUCUUUAGCCCAAAUCCUCGAUACAAAUAGGUUGAUUGGCACCAAUUACAAAGACUAACUCCAGAAUCUGAGAAUUGUUCUCAAUUUUGAAAAAUACAUCU